rnacentral:piRNA from 1 species
UGAGACAUAACUAUGGCCCCGAACUGUAAG